rnacentral:rRNA from 1 species
GAGUUUGAUCGUGGCUCAGAACGAACGCUGGCGGCGUGGAUAAGACAUGCAAGUCGAACGGGAUAUUGUUUGUAGCAAUACAGAUGAUGUCCAGUGGCGUAAGGGUGCGUAACACGUGGACAAUCUGCCGAGAAGUGGGGGAUAGCUCGUCGAAAGGCGAAUUAAUACCGCAUGUGGUUAGGGAGGACAUCCUUCCGACACCAAAGCCGGGGCAACCUGGCGCUUCUUGAUGAGUCCGCGGCCUAUCAGCUAGUUGGCGGGGUAAAAGCCCACCAAGGCUAUGACGGGUAGCUGGUCUGAGAGGACGACCAGCCACACUGGAACUGAGACACGGUCCAGACACCUACGGGUGGCAGCAGUCGAGAAUUUUUCUCAAUGGGGGAAACCCUGAAGGAGCGACGCCGCGUGAAGGAUGAAGGUCUUUGGAUUGUAAACUUCUGUCAUUUGAGAACAAUGUGCAUGAUUUAACUGGUUAUGCAUUGAUAGUAUCAGAAGAGGAAGAGACGGC